CCUACGGGAGGCAGCAGUGGGGAAUCUUGCGCAAUGGGCGAAAGCCUGACGCAGCCAUGCCGCGUGAAUGAUGAAGGUCUUAGGAUUGUAAAAUUCUUUCACCGGGGACGAUAAUGACGGUACCCGGAGAAGAAGCCCCGGCUAACUUCGUGCCAGCAGCCGCGGUAAUACGAAGGGGGCUAGCGUUGCUCGGAAUUACUGGGCGUAAAGGGAGCGUAGGCGGAUAGUUUAGUCAGAGGUGAAAGCCCAGGGCUCAACCUUGGAAUUGCCUUUGAUACUGGCUAUCUUGAGUGUGGGAGAGGUAUGUGGAACUCCGAGUGUAGAGGUGAAAUUCGUAGAUAUUCGGAAGAACACCAGUGGCGAAGGCGACAUACUGGCCCAUUACUGACGCUGAGGCUCGAAAGCGUGGGGAGCAAACAGGAUUAGAUACCCUGGUAGUCCACGCUGUAAACGAUGAGUGCUAGUUGUCGGCAGCAUGCUGUCGGUGACGCAGCUACGCAUAAGACACCUCCGCCGUCGGGGAGGUACGGUCGCGAAGAAUUAAAACUUAAAGUUAGUAAGUUAGUACGGCGUGAGACGUGCCGACGGACGACGACGAGGGAGGUUAGG
rnacentral:rRNA from 1 species